AUUCAGGGGCGACAUCUCCGAGUAGGCACGGCCCACCAGCUGAAGUUUGGGCGUGCGCCGCAUGGUUAUGGCGAUUACAAACGGUUAAUGGUUCACAUAAAACUGGGCAUCUUCGGGAGGAAUCGGGUGAUUUAUACGAUCAACAUAUAUUAUAUUCAGUUUGUCUAGGCAAAUUAGCGAAUGCCGCGAUUGCAAUCUAUUUCAAAUAUUAUGGAAAACACAGCGAUUACGAUUAGAGGAGCGCACGCGGCGCGCUCUGCUGGAAAACUAAAUGGAAUUGGAAUUGGAGGCAAAAUCGCUGGCGCAGAAAGAGAAUCGUCAAUCGCUCUCCUGGCUCUCCUUUGUUUUAUUUCGCCUUAUUUUUUUUUUUUUUUUUUUUUUUUUUUUUUU